UGAAAACCAUGGAACAUGGUCCUCCCGUAAGGGACAUCAGUACAGGUGGUGCAUGGCUGUCGUCAGCUCGUGUCGUGAGAUGUUGGGUUAAGUCCUGCAACGAGCGCAACCCUUAUUCUUAGUGUUUCCCUUUGGGAUUACCCUCUAAGAAGACUGCCUCGGAUAACGGGGAGGAAGGUGGGAUGACGUCAAGUCCGCAUGCUCCUUACGUCUAGGGCUACACACGUCCUACAAUGGGGUCGACAAUGGGAUGCAAUAUCGCAAGAUGGAGCCAAUCCCCAAACGGCCUCUCAGUUCGGAUUGUAGUCUGCAACUCGACUACAUGAAGUUGGAAUCGCUAGUAAUGGCAGAUCAGCAUGCUGCCGUGAAUACGUUCCCGGGUCUU
rnacentral:rRNA from 1 species